UGAGGAAUACCACACCCGGCUGUCCUUUCCCUGGGACCCUGCCUGUGCCACCACCAUGACACGGUGCCACCUGUGCUACAAACUGUCAAAGUGGUGUGUGACUCCAGAGACACGCAGUGUGCCUGCCUCCAUCCGUUCUCCACACCCAGGGCAUUUCCCCUACGAGGUCUCGACCCGCCCUCCUCCCCAGGGUCCUUGCAGGUUUCCACGGGCUCCCAGGCUCCCAAAUGAGCUGUCCUUGGCCCCCGCCCCCAUGUGCCCCUGUCCAAGUGUCACAUUUGAAUCCCAUGGAUUUGAGGGAUGGCAGGGACGCGGACACACCUGCCCAACCCACAGGCUUACCUCCUUCUGAAGCCAUCCCCGCAGGCUUGGGCAGGGACCAGUGUAUCCUGCAGCCACCACAAUGAGAAACGUCGAGUCCAGGUCCCAGACGGCGACCUGCUCCAGCAGAUGCUCAAGAGCCAAUUAAGGAGGGAAAAGUUUGAAUUGGAAUAUCUCAAAGAAUCAAUAGCUUUGUGUGGUUCAAUGUCAAAGGACAUAAAGGAAUAUGCAGUGAUGACUCUUCCUCCCACCUCUUACUCCUGGGCACCAAGCCCCUUUCUCGCAGGAAACCAGUGUUAUCUGUGACGUUCAAAUCUUCAGAGAGACGGAUUGUGCAACUAAAAGUACAUGUGAGCUAUUUUCAUUUUCAAAAAAUGCUUGUAUUUUUUUCUGUGGCUAAAAGUUGACACAUAUGCCAAAAUAGGUGUGAGUGUGCCCAGUGAUUGACUUUAUGCUGAUACUGUGGCUCCUGUCCUUAUUUCUGGAGACUGGUUUCUGGGAACAUGUAGUUCUACAGUCCUUUACAUUUCAAGGACCCUGUAGAAUAGGGUGGCUGGAUUUAGCAUAUGAAAUAAUGGAUGCUCAAUUGAGUUAGAAUUUCAGAUAAUAGGGAUCAGCUUUUAGAAUAAUUGUGUCCCAUGCAAUAUUUUGGAUAUAACUUUUACUGGAAAUUUGUUCCCAGUUGAUUUGAAUUUUGCAUUUAGCUGGGGUUCUGUACUUUAUAUGGCAUCUCCACCCAAACAGUGUAAUAUAUUCAGCCAAUAUUAGUCACCCUGUGAGAAAGAGAACUUGGAUUAGGAGACUCAAGGGUGCUACUUUGAAAAAAAAAAGAGUGCUAUCUUGGCUCACCCACAAAAUCAUUUGCCUCGCACACACGUGCACACGAACACACACACACGGUGUCUAUAGGCUCUUUGGGUGAUAUGGAAUUUGGAGGCGCCAAAUAUACAGAAUUGAGUAUCUGGAAUUAAUGGGACUAAGGACAGAAGUAAGGGAUAGGAAACCUUCCCCUCCCUAACAUCCUACAGUCCUGGUUUUCCUAGGUGUUAAAAUCAAUCCCCAUGAAAUGGAUGUGCACCUGCCAUCUAUCCACUGACGUCCAACCCCCAUUCACACAACCAGCUUCCUCUAAGUUCUCAUUGGCCAAUGCUAGCCUGGAAGCCCUGCUCACGGGCUUGUGUAUUUCCUGCCUGCAUGAGAGACCCUUGUUCUUUGGAAUCCAUGUCAUCAGUGCAUGUGGCCCCAUCUGCACGAGAAUCAAAGGAGCACCUCUUUAAAGUCUUGCUUGAUUCUUCUUUUCAUAUUG
ensembl:lncRNA